rnacentral:misc_RNA from 1 species
GUAUUUCUUGACAUCUAGUUAAAUGUGGAAUUAGUUUGAUAUGAUUUGAUAAUAGAAUUUCACUCUUCCCAUUAGUUUUGCAUCAUACAUUUUCCAUUUUAAGUAAAUUUUAGUUCAUAGGCAUGCUUAUAUGCGCAAAUUAUCUAUAUGCAUGGUUAUAUAUGUUUGUAGUCAGCUUGAGGCAUAAAAAGGAGUUAAAACAAAAGCUUUAGGCAUUUUUGGACCUCCAACCCAAUUUAGAGAGUGUUUUAAAUUGGUCAAACUAACUUAUAAGUUCUCAAAUUAAGUGAUCCGUUUAUUUAUAACAUUUUUUGG